rnacentral:lncRNA from 1 species
GAAAUUCCAGUGGUAGACAACACAUUCGAUCAAAAGGUUAGAUACGUUGGGUACACUUCAAGGUUGUUGAGUAAAUGUUUAACGGAACAUAAGAAAGAUAUUGAAAGAGGAGCAUCGAUGACAACACUAGCGCAAAGGGCCUUGUCAUUGGAUGUCACUAUCAACUGGAAUCAAUCAAAGCUUUUGUACGAACAACACGACCUGAGAAGAGGUAGAAUUGAGGAAGCUUUAACAAUCUACAUGAAUAGAUCGGCAGAAAUUAAGCCGAUUAAUAAACUUGACCCGACAACCAUUAGUGCUGCAUGGCGAUCUUGCACUACGAGAUAGAC